AUGCAAAAUCGAACCUGAAUAAACACAUAUGUGUAAGCAAGGAGCGACUAUAAAACGCCUAGUUUAAGAAAUAAUUUUUAUAACACAAUUUUGUCACGAGUACAAUCGCUUGUAAUUAAGACCGUAAAUUUUGUAAGAAAUGGCAGACAUUUAUGUGGUAGCCGUGUGCAUUGCGGUUAUGGUGGCGAUAGCUCCUUACAUAAAUAUGGAUAUUUCAAUUGACUAAGAAGAAAACGAUGGUGUUGUCUAAAUUGUUUUUUAAUAUUUUUUAUUACUAAUUGUCAAUUUAUGAAUUACGAAAUUACAAAUUAGAUACAUAUAAUCUAA